GAGAGGGAGGGAAAGAGAUGGAGCAAGAAAAGAAAGAAAGAAAGAAAGAAAGAAAGAAAGAAAGAAAGAAAGAAAGAAAGAAAGAAAGAAAGAAAGAGAAAAGAAAGUGGAGGCCUCAAAAUAAUUUUUCUGUUCUUGGUUUAGGGAAAAAAAAUCAUGUUUAGACUCAAGAUUGGAGGAUGUGCCUGGCCCUUCUCCAUCUCUGAUCCUUGACAGUCAAGUGUGGCUGAGGACUCUGCCCCAUGCCAAGUGCUAAGAGGAUCUAGGACCAGGAUAUGAUGUCAUCUCUGUCAUUCUCUCAGGCCACCCUCUUGGUGGCAAAACUCAAUGGACAAUUGUGAUGUGACAGGAUCACACCUGGCAGCAGGACAUCCCAGAGAGCAAUGGGAGGACAAGGCCCAUGAGCUGUUGGAGCGUAGGGAGCAAAAGUUCAGUGGGGGACUUUGGGAGACUAAUGGGAAUUGGAUACAAGAAAGGGGCACAUUCUGGGGAGGUGGGGUCAGGAAGACAGGAAUGAACCUAGCACGUCCCUGGCCAGCAAGGGGGCCCAUUGCAGGGAGGACCAUGGGAUUCAGCACAGGGGGCAGGGUGGCACAGGCUGGGCCAGGAAGGGGGACCUGACAAUGAAACUCCAUCUGAAGGAUAACUCAGACCCAUGCUUAGUCCUCAGUGCUCUCUAGUUAAGGGAGCAGUUACAGAAGAUACAAUAUUUUGGAAAGAUUUACAACAAAAAGAGGGUUUUGGACAAAUAGGUUCUUUAUGAUGGUUAGAUGAUGUCAAGGGCAUCAGCCCCCAUCUGGCAUCUCAUUCCCAGCAGGCAGCAGCUAGUGACUAGAGACUGCUGGUAGGUCCUCAAAAGCUGGAGUGUGGCACUCCUGGUCCUCACACAGGGCCCUUCAGGGAGUGCUGAUCAGGGCAGCAGGGUGGAGAAAGCAUGGCUGGGAUACGGGUGCUGAGAUGUGCUGCCACUGCCCCUGCUUGCUGUGCAUCUUUAGACAAAGCCACCCCAGUCCUUCGAUGGUGCCACCCUUGCUCAGCUAGGAGCCCUAAGCCUGCCACCACACCCCCAGAGGUCCCCACGGGACCCCGUGCAAUAGUGCACAGGGAAGCCUGGAAAAGGUACUUUGUGACAUCAAGGGCACUCUUGUUAUCUCCAUCUUCCCUGUGUGGGGCCACUAUUAGACACCCUCCAAGCUCAUCCCUCAUGCGUCACUCUAACUGAUUGCCAACCUGGAAGAGUCACCAUAUGGAGAACCAAGCCCACGUUACCACACUAGCAUGCAGUUGUCUGGAUUCCAAGCCCAGCCUCCUAAUUGGCACUACCAUCAUGCCUGGUGACUGAGGGGACCCUGCUGCUUGGAAACCUGGAGCUGCGUGUGUGUAUGUGGGGUAGAAGGAUAAUGCAAAGGGUGGGAGAAACUCUCUGCAGGUGACAAGAGGGUCCCCUCAGUCUUCUCAUUCCACACACCAAGUGCUCCCUACAUGGAACUGGAUACUUCAGAGGUAUAGAAGCUGCUCUGUCCAGUAGGAUAGUUCUUCCUUGGGACGUACAGAAUCUGCAGGGUGAGCAAGAGAUCAGACAGCAAGAUGAUCCCACUGUGUUUCUAGGGUCUGCCUUGCCUGUGAUCAACGGCUCAGGAAGGACAUGGGGUCGGUGCUAAAUAAAGCUGCUCUCACCCAGGAUGCAAGGAGCAAAUGGAUCCUCAAGUGAUUUAGGCUUCUCAGAUUGGGGUGGAAUAUGAGCCUCUUCACCAAAUCCCAGUCAACAACA